GUGACGUCAGAGAAGAAGGCGCAUCUCUUCAACAUCAUGGUUUAUCCACUAUAAUUCGUAUAGUCACCAGCCCCCCCACAGAGAAGCUACCUAAUGGCACACAGAUGGGUGCCAGCUUACCAGUGGUAACCUCGUGAUCUGCUGAUGUCAUCCUCACAAAGCAGCUACUUCUGAAGAGGUUUGGCUGAUUUUCUUUAUUCCAAACAAGAUGUUGGCCCCAUGCACAAUCAAUGACCAAAAGAGACCAAAGCAGAGUCUGCACGCUGACAGAUUUCUGACCAUCAAAUUCGAGUUUAGACCAAGUACACAGGGAAAAAGUUUGAAGUGUUGUAAUGCUGCCUACUGUGAUUUGUAUGAACAUUUGGGAUCCCCUGGAGAGGACUGUAAUCCAGGGUUCCUUUCUUGUACAAGAAAGUCUUGGAACAAUAUAAUAUUGAUAAAAAAAUCCUUAAUUAGAUUUGUAUUCACAAUUUGGAAAUGUGAAGAAAACACUACAGAUUUUGUUUGCACUCUCUGGGACUAUAUAUAUUUUGAAUUAUCUGCAGGAAGACUUCCCCCUACUGGGUUCCUUCAGCACAAAGAUAUAUUGACAACUAAAAGGAACAUUAAUAAUAAAAAUGGAUAUAAAAGGCUAUAAAAUUCAAGCCACAUGGUUUCCUUAGUUCCAUGCAA